CCUACGGGUGGCAGCAGUGAGGAAUAUUGGUCAAUGGGCGCGAGCCUGAACCAGCCAAGUCGCGUGAGGGAAGACGGUCCUAUGGAUUGUAAACCUCUUGUGUCGGGGAGCAAAAGACGCCACGCGUGGCGUUCCGAGAGUACCCGAAGAACCAGCAUCGGCUAACUCCCUGCCAGCAGCCGCGGUAAUACGGAGGAUGCGAGCGUUAUCCGGAUUUAUUGGGUUUAAAGGGUGCGCAGGCGGAAGAUCAAGUCAGCGGUAAAAUUGAGAGGCUCAACCUCUUCGAGCCGUUGAAACUGGUGUUCUUGAGUGAGCGAGAAGGAUGCGGAAUGCGGGGUGUAGCGGUGAAAUGCAUAGAUAUCACGCAGAACUCCGAUGGCGAAGGCAGCAUACCGGCGCGCAACUGACGCUCAUGCACGAAAGUGUGGGUAUCGAACAGGAUUAGAUACCCGGGUAGUC
rnacentral:rRNA from 1 species